rnacentral:rRNA from 1 species
CCUACGGGAGGCUGCAGUGGGGAAUAUUGCACAAUGGGCGAAAGCCUGAUGCAGCAACGCCGCGUGAGCGAUGAAGGUCUUCGGGUCGUAAAGCUCUGUCCUAAGGGAAGAAUACUGACGGUACCUCAGGAGGAAGCCGCGGCUAACUACGUGCCAGCAGCAGCGGUAAUACGUAGGGGGCAAGCGUUAUCCGGAAUUACUGGGCGUAAAGGGUGCGUAGGCGGCCUUUCAAGUCAGAGGUGAAAGGCUACGGCUCAACCGUAGUAAGCCUUUGAAACUGUAGGGCUUGAGGGCAGAAGAGGAGAGUGGAACUCCCAGUGUAGCGGUGAAAUGCGUAGAUAUUGGGAGGAACACCAGUUGCGAAGGCGGCUCGCUGGACUGUAACUGACGCUGAGGCACGAAAGUGUGGGGAGCGAACAGGAUUAGAUACCCCUGUAGUC